AUGAACGCUGGCGGCGUGCUUCACACAUGCCAGUCGAACGAAGCACUUUAUUUGAUUUCCUUCGGGACUGAUUAUUUUGUGACUGAGUGGCGGACGGGUGAGUAACGCGUGGGUAACCUGCCUUGUACAGGGGGAUAACAGUUGGAAACGGCUGCUAAUACCGCAUAAGCGCACGGCAUCGCAUGAUGCAGUGUGAAAAACUCCGGUGGUAUAAGAUGGACCCGCGUUGGAUUAGCUAGUUGGUGAGGUAACGGCCCACCAAGGCGACGAUCCAUAGCCGACCUGAGAGGGUGACCGGCCACAUUGGGACUGAGACACGGCCCAAACUCCUACGGGAGGCAGCAGUGGGGAAUAUUGCACAAUGGGCGAAAGCCUGAUGCAGCGACGCCGCGUGAGCGAAGAAGUAUUUCGGUAUGUAAAGCUCUAUCAGCAGGGAAGAUAAUGACGGUACCUGACUAAGAAGCACCGGCUAAAUACGUG
rnacentral:rRNA from 1 species